UGAGUUAAGCCACAGUGUGCCUCACUUCUAAUGUAACCUAUUCUGAUACACAGUUCUUGACGCAGCCUCUCACACUUUGUUCCCUAGUGGCCACCGUGAGCAAAGCAUCAGCUUUGAAUGGAAGCUUUACACCAUCAUCGGUUUUAUGGAAAAACUCUGCCGAUUGAAUCAUAGCUCCAGAUCUACCCUUACGAUACUUCACCGGCUUUUUCUCUGCGACUCCUCCUACACAACACAUCAGAUACGCUAACCCAUCAUGGCAUCGACGAGCAUCUACAGCUCGAUGUGGACUCGCCAGACUAAUGUGCAAGAGUGUGGAUCGCCAGAUUUUCUUGCUACUACUUCAUUGCUACGUCUCUAUCACACUACGCCG
rnacentral:lncRNA from 1 species